CGGAGGAAAAGAAACUAACCAGGAUUCCCUUAGUAGCGGCGAGCGAAGCGGGAAGAGCCCAAUAUGAAAAGCCAGCUUGCUGGCGUUGUAGUUGAGCGUCUUUGGGGUGUCAGUUUGGGAAAGUGGCAUGAGAGUGCUCACCGGGGAGGGUGAAAGUCCCGUCCAUCCCAUYCAGGACACCUCGCACAAAGGCGUUUCAGACGAGUCGGGUAGCUUGGGAAUGCUGCUCUAAUUGGUGGUAAAUCUCAUCAAAGGCUAAAUACUGGUGGGAGACCGAUAGCGAACAAGUACCGUGAGGGAAAGAUGAAAAGUACUUUGAAAAGAGGGUAAAAAGAACCUGAAACCGUUACGGGGGAAGCGGAUUGCGUUGGCCUGGUGGCUGCCUGUGUGUUCAGCCUUUUAUGGUGCAUUGAUACAGGUGGUUAUUCGUCGUGGCUUUUCGGUAGCUGAUAAUGAGUUACUGGAGGGUGAGGGCUCCCCUUUUUUUGGGUGAGGACGACGGAGUGACGACGCGAUACGACCCGUCUUGAAACACGGACCAAGGAGUCUAGCGCAGGUGCGAGUCAAAGGGUUUCAAAACCUGUGGGCGUAGUGAAAGCGACUUUUUUUUUGUAAAAACGAGCAGUUUGGGGCGGCAUAGAAUCGUUGAUUCUAGGUCUGACCUUGAGCAGUUGCGCUGGGACCCGAAAGAUGGUGAACUAUGCCGGAGUAGGGCGAAGCCAGAGGAAACUCUGGUGGAGGCUCGUAGCGGUGCUGACGUGCAAAUCGCUCGUCGAACUUGGGUAUAGGGGCGAAAGACUAAUCGAACCAUCUAGUAGCUGGUUUCCUCCGAAGUUUCUCUCAGGAUAGCAGGCCGACACUUUUUUUUACGUUGUUUUGUGCGGUAAAGCGAAUGAUUAGCGUAAUCGGGGGCGUUUAGCCUUUGGACGAUUCUCAAACUUUAAAUGCGCAAGGGUACCGGUGCUUUGUUGAGCGGUACCGUUAAAAACGUCGGCCUUGUGGGCCACUUUUGGUAAGCAGAACUGGCGAUACGGGAUGAACCGUAAGCAUGGUUAAGGUGCCAAACUGCCCGCUUAUAGAUCCCACAAAAGGUGUUGAUUCAUCGAGACAGCAGGACGGUGGCCAUGGAAGUCGGAAUCCGCUAAGGAGUGUGUAACAACUCACCUGCCGAAUGAAUCAGCCCUGAAAAUGGAUGGCGCUUAAGCGGGCGACCGACACCAUGCCGUCUGUACAAGAUGAAAUGUUUACAGAUGAGUAGGAGGACGUGGCGGUCGUGUCGAAGCAUGCGUGCGAACGCGUGUGGAACGGCCGCUAGUGCAGAUCUUGGUGGUAGUAGCAAAUAUUCAAGCGAGAUCCUUGAAGGGCGAAGCGGGGAAGGGUUCCACGCAAACAUUGAUUGGGCGUGGGUGAGUCGUUCCUAAGCCGAGUGGCAAUUGCUAAGUAGCGGCGAAAGGGAAGCAGGUUGACAUUCCUGCACACGGAUGUGGAGGCGGUGACGCUUUAAUGAGGGCGAAGACGCUGGCGAUGGCGCUGGGCAGAGAUUUCUUUUCUGUUUGACCGCUGAAGCGCGCGGUGUGGAAUCCGCUUGUCGGGAGAAACACGCGCGUUCGGGCAGAGCGCCGGGGCUAUUCCGGCGUCCAGCUCGCCAUCGACGGCCCUUGAAAAUUUGCCUGCUGGAAUGGUUUUUUUUAAAAUUCUAUGAAGAUCCACGCCGUGGCGUACCGAUAACCGCAUCAGGUCCCCAAGGUGAACAGCCUCUGCUCUAUAUGAAUAAUGCAGGUAAGGGAAGUCGGCAAAUUGGACCCGUAACUUUGGGAAAAGGGUUGGCUCUAGUGCUGCGUGGGAGUAGUUGUCGGGUGUGGGCGUUUUUGGACUUGCUGAGCGAGCGCGAGGAGGCAUCUUCGGGUGUUUCUUUGUGUUCAAUUGGCGAGUCUGGAUCCGCCUCGCUCGACGACGCCCACAGCAUGCAGCAGACUAGAACUGCAACGGGCAAAGGGAAUCCGACUGUUUAAUUAAAACAAAGCAUUGCGAGGGCCGUGGCCGGUGAUGACGCAAUG
rnacentral:rRNA from 1 species